AUUGUUGUGUAAAUUUAAUCCACCCCUUUGCACCCGAGAAUAACAGCCGGAAAAUAUGAACUAUAAAUAACCUCUUGCCUGGUAGGGGGACAAAACACAAUCCUCUCGCGUUUGUUGCUGUUUCAUCAGCGCCGCUCAAGUUUCCAUAAAUACUACACGGUAGCAGUGAUACCUUUUAUUGUGACGACUGACAAGGAACUGCUUGUCAAGUAAUAAUUAAGGCUUGCCUGACUCAUGCCUCAGAAAUACGAGUGAACAUUCAAAGCAACUGAAAGAAGGGGGAAAAAUGUAGCAGCAAGAAACUCAAUGAUUCCAAGGACUGCGAAUGCUUGCUUUCUAUGGGAAUCAUCGGCUGUCAGAGAUGAAGCAGAUAGGAGCAGAUGUGAGGCAAGAGACAAAGGGACAAGAAUGCAAUGACCUCAUCAGCCAAACCACACCUGGCAAGGGCCUGCACGCCAUCCAAUGGGAACUGCACGCCAUCCAAUGGGAACAGCAGGCUGCAGAAAGCAGAGGACGGCACACCAUUAAGAAACGGGCAUGACGGUGAACCCACCGCAAUUGAGCAAACAGCAAUCACCAAGCUGAGAGGGAGAAGCCAGCCAAAGGGGUGGUGACCUUCUGGCCUGAUUUACAGCUCCUGUGACAGGGCCAAUGCUGCAGCCACAUCUUCAUUAGUGACUUCCACCUGAGAGCUGAGCUGCCAGGAGCCAACCAACUUCCAGCCUGGGCUUGAUGGGCCUCCCCAUGGAUUGCCCAGCCCUGCCCAGACCAACAGCACAAGAUCCAGUCUUUCCAGUGCACAGUGAACUCUCCCUUCACCCUCCCCCAGCCUUGCUUCCCAACCUCCCUCACCAAACCAAACUCCUAUCCUUACAACCACCCAGAGGAAUCUUGGCUUUGUCCAGAAGGCGCUAUAAAUCUAUUGAGUGAUGUCAGUGUCAUUUUGGGGAACAUACAACCUAAACACAAAUAUUUUACAUUGUGUGUGUGUGUGUGUGUGUGUGUAUGUGUGCACGCUCGUGUGUGUGUGCAAAUUAUUGAUAGAAGCCAGUGUUAAAGAUGAACUUCAUCCUUUUUUUCACUGGUAGAAAUGUGUUUCUGUUGGACUGUCUCAGACGCUUAACAGUAUAAACAACUGUCACCACUGCUCCUACCUCCCAAGCUGAGAUCGAUGGCAUUUCAAAUGGCACUGCUCUCUUCUGCACCCUGUGUGGCAUAUAGGGUUCCUCUCAGUAUAUUAGUGUCAUGCAGGGGAAAAAAGAAGAAUGCUUUGUUGAAUUUUCAGAAAGCUACUGCUCUCCUUUUUCCUAUGCUGACUCCUAUGUUCACUUUAUCAACCCUGCCUAGUAAGACUGAAACAAAACAGACAAACAUUAAUUAUUAUUUAAUAAAAUACAAAUACCUCAUUCUACAAUUUUAUUUAAUGUCUUUUAAUACAAAGCCAUUUUAUUGCAAGGAUCGCACAUACAAAUUUGGUAGGCUGUGAAGUCUACUGUAGGGUAGCAAUGCGAUGAUGGAAGAACAACUAAUAUAAACAUGUUACAGGGCUUGUGUUCCAUAGAAUGGAUUGUUAUGAAAUAACUACACAAACAAACUGUUUUAGUCAGUAGUUAGAAUAGGAGUAGUAGAGCCCAUUUUCGAAGGUUUUAAACCAGUAGAAUCAAUCCGAGAGGCAUGUCGCUGAAAUAAUCUGCAUAUUUCAAAACAUUAAGCAACCCAUAGUUCAACUUUGAUAUGGAGGCCUCAGUACCAUAGGGUAAAGCAUAAGGAACUGGUCUUGUAACCAAGAAAUUACAGGUCUUAUUCCCUGGUAGUAAACUGCUUUUGUUCACUUGAGCAAGGUGCUUAACCUGCAUUGCUUCAGCAGAUGUCUGGCUAUAUAAAGAUAUACAAUGCAAGUGCGAUGUAAUAAGUUGUGUAAAUUGCUCUGUAUAAGAGCAUCUGCUAAAUGCCUGUAAUGUCUUUAGAACUUAAUUUAGGUAAAUAUUUAAUGUUCCGUUUUCCACUGUACCGUGCAUUUGUAUCGUACAUAUAUAGUUGUACAUGGAAUUUCAGGUUUUAUAUCUGAAUCAUGUUUUUGUUUUCACAAAGCAAAUUAUAAAGUGCAAAAAAUUG